CUCCAACAAUGGCAGUAGCAGAUUCAAGGCUUGGCACUUGUGUAGAUCCACUCCUGAACACUUGUUAUGAAUCCUAAAGUUGAAAUUGAGGCCCGGAGAUGUUUAGAUCUUGCUCAAAUUUGAAACUCCAUGUCAUACCCCAAAAAUUACCCAUCAUUUUUCCUAAAAAAAAAAAAUAAAAAAAAAAAGAGAAUUUUUUUUUUAAUUAAUUAAUUAAUUAAUUAAUUAAUUAAUUAAUUAAUUAAU
rnacentral:lncRNA from 1 species